UACAGAGGGUGCGAGCGUUAAUCGGAAUUACUGGGCGUAAAGCGUGCGUAGACGGCUAUCUAAGUCGGGUGUGAAAGCCCCGGGCUCAACCUGGGAAUUGCAUUCGAGACUGAAUAGCUAGGGUACGGUAGAGGGAAGUGGAAUUUCCGGUGCAGCGGUGAAAUGCGUAGAUAUCGGAAGGAACAUCAGUGGCGAAAGCGACUUCCUGGCCUGUUCUUGACGCUGAGGCGCGAAAGCUAGGGUAGCAAACGGG
rnacentral:rRNA from 1 species